AUUGAACGCUGGCGGCAGGCCUAACACAUGCAAGUCGAGCGAGCGGCGGACGGGUGAGUAAUGUAUGGGGACUGCCCGUGAGAGGGGGGGAUCAACUCGCAACGGUAGCUCAUACCGCAUACUAUCGGAUAACCCAUAUGGGAUUAGCUAUUGGGUGGGGUAAUGGCGCACAAAGGCGACGAUCCCUCGCUGGUCUGAGAGGAGAAUCAGCCAGACUGGGAGUGAGACACGGCCCAGACUCCUACGGAGGCAGCAGUGGGGAAUAUUGCACAAUGGGGGCAAGCCUGAUGCAGCCAUGCCGCGUGUAUGAAGAAGGCCCUAGGGUUGUAAAGUACUUUUGGUCGGGAAGCGGUACCGACAGAAGAAGCACCGGCUAACUCCGUGCCAGCCGCCGCGGUAAUAC
rnacentral:rRNA from 1 species